AGAGUUUGAUCCUGGCUCAGGAUGAACGCUGGCGGCGUGCCUAAUACAUGCAAGUCGAACGCUUCACUUCGGUGAAGAGUGGCGAACGGGUGAGUAAUACAUAAGUAACCUGGCAUCUACAGGGGGAUAACUGAUGGAAACGUCAGCUAAGACCGCAUAGGUGUAGAGAUCGCAUGAACUCUAUAUGAAAAGUGCUACGGGACUGGUAGAUGAUGGACUUAUGGCGCAUUAGCUGGUUGGUAGGGUAACGGCCUACCAAGGCGACGAUGCGUAGCCGACCUGAGAGGGUGACCGGCCACACUGGGACUGAGACACGGCCCAGACUCCUACGGGAGGCAGCAGUAGGGAAUUUUCGGCAAUGGGGGAAACCCUGACCGAGCAACGCCGCGUGAAGGAAGAAGUAAUUCGUUAUGUAAACUUCUGUCAUAGAGGAAGAACGGUGGAUAUAGGGAAUGAUAUCCAAGUGACGGUACUCUAUAAGAAAGCCACGGCUAACUACGUGCCAGCAGCCGCGGUAAUACGUAGGUGGCGAGCGUUAUCCGGAAUUAUUGGGCGUAAAGAGGGAGCAGGCGGCACUAAGGGUCUGUGGUGAAAGAUCGAAGCUUAACUUCGGUAAGCCAUGGAAACCGUAGAGCUAGAGUGUGUGAGAGGAUCGUGGAAUUCCAUGUGUAGCGGUGAAAUGCGUAGAUAUAUGGAGGAACACCAGUGGCGAAGGCGACGAUCUGGCGCAUAACUGACGCUCAGUCCCGAAAGCGUGGGGAGCAAAUAGGAUUAGAUACCCUAGUAGUCCACGCCGUAAACGAUGAG
rnacentral:rRNA from 1 species